GUCCCAAUGGUCUAGUGGUAGGAUUCGCCCUUCGGGUGGGCGAGGUCCCCGGUUCGAACCCGGGUUGGGCCC
rnacentral:tRNA from 1 species